AACGAACGCUGGCGGCAUGCCUAACACAUGCAAGUCGAACGAGACCUUCGGGUCUAGUGGCGCACGGGUGCGUAACGCGUGGGAACCUGCCCUUAGGUUCGGAAUAACUCCCCGAAAGGGGUGCUAAUACCGGAUAAUGUCUUCGGACCAAAGAUUUAUCGCCUUUGGAUGGGCCCGCGUUGGCUUAGCUAGUUGGUAGUGUAAAAGCCUACCAAGGCGACGAUCCAUAGCUGGUCUGAGAGGAUGAUCAGCCACACUGGGACUGCGACCCGGCCCAGACUCCUACGGGAGGCAGCAGUGUGUAGUAUUGGACAAUGGGCGAUAGUCUGAUCCAGCAAUGCCGCGUGAGAGAGGAAGGCCUUAGGGUUGUAAAUCUCUUUUACCCGGGAUGUUAAUGACAGUACCGGGAGAAUAAGCACCGGCUAACUCCGUG
rnacentral:rRNA from 1 species